UUCCAUCUGGCUCAGCUGGUAAAGAAUCCGCCUGCAACGCGGGAGACCUGGGUUCGAUUCCUGGGUUGGGAA
rnacentral:tRNA from 1 species